UCGGACCCUGCGAAUGGUUUUGGCUAU
rnacentral:piRNA from 1 species